rnacentral:tRNA from 6 species
GCCGCGAUAGCUCAGUUGGUAGAGCGCCUCCAUGGUAAGGAGGAGGUCCCGGGUUCGAAUCCCGGUCGUGGCU